ACGGCGUCCACGUCGGCCGGCGCGAGCCGGGCGGCGGCCAGGGCCUGGCGGAUCACGCGCUCCUGGGAGGGGCCGUUCGGGGCGGUCAGGCCGUU
rnacentral:tRNA from 1 species